AGAGUUUGAUCCUGGCUCAGAAUCAACGCUGGCGGCGCGCUUAACACAUGCAAGUCGAACGAGAAAGGGGAGCAAUCCCUGAGUAAAGUGGCGUACGGGUGAGUAACACGUGGAUGAUCUACCUCUUGGCGGGGAAUACCUCUGGGAAACCGGAGACAAUACCGCAUAAGCUCGUGAGAGGAAACCCGAAAGGGGCCGAGAGAGGAGUCCGCGGCCGAUUAGCUAGUUGGUAGGGUAAAGGCCUACCAAGGCGAAGAUCGGUAGCCGGCCUGAGAGGGCACACGGCCACACUGGCACUGAAACACGGGCCAGACUCCUACGGGAGGCAGCAGUGGGGAAUCUUGCACAAUGGGGGAAACCCUGAUGCAGCGACGCCGCGUGAGCGAUGAAGCCCUUCGGGGUGUAAAGCUCUUUCGACGGGAACGAUAAUGACGGUACCCGGAGAAGAAGCUGCGGCUAACUACGUGCCAGCAGCCGCGGUAAUACGUAGGCAGCAAGCGUUGUUCGGAGUUACUGGGCGUAAAGAGUGCGUAGGCGGUGCCCCAAGUCUGUUGUGAAAUCUCCCGGCUUAACUGGGAGGGUGCGGUGGAAACUGGGGUGCUUGAGUAUGGGAGAGGUAAGCGGAAUUCCUGGUGUAGCGGUGAAAUGCGUAGAUAUCAGGAGGAACACCGGUGGUGUAGACGGCUUACUGGACCAUGACUGACGCUGAGGCACGAAAGCGUGGGUAGCAAACAGGAUUAGAUACCCUGGUAGUCC
rnacentral:rRNA from 1 species